GACGAACGCUGGCGGCGUGCUUAACACAUGCAAGUCGAACGGUAAGGCCCUUCGGGGUACACGAGUGGCGAACGGGUGAGUAACACGUGGGUGAUCUGCCCUGCACUUCGGGAUAAGCCUGGGAAACUGGGUCUAAUACCGGAUAGGACCCUGGGAUGCAUGUCCUGGGGUGGAAAGCUUUUGCGGUGUGGGAUGGGCCCGCGGCCUAUCAGCUUGUUGGUGGGGUGAUGGCCUACCAAGGCGACGACGGGUAGCCGGCCUGAGAGGGUGACCGGGCACACUGGGACUGGGAUACGCCCCUGACUCCUACGGGAGGCAGUAGUGGGGAAUAUUGGACAAUGGGCGCAAGCCUGAUGCAGCGACGCCGCGUGAGGGAUGACGGCCUUCGGGUUGUAAACCUCUUUCAGCACCGACGAAGCGCAAGUGACGGUAGGUGCAGAAGAAGGACCGGCCAACUACGUGCCAGCCGCCGCAGUAA
rnacentral:rRNA from 1 species